rnacentral:rRNA from 1 species
AUGCUAGUGCACCUUGACCGCGUCCUUUGCACGUCGGACUGGGAAGAUGCGCACGGUGAAUGCCACCUCCAGUGCCUCGCUUCGGUCGUGUCGGAUCACUGCCCGCUGCUGCUAGAUUGCUCCCCCAUCCCGGCUGCGCACAAACGCUUCCACUUCGAGGACUAUUGGCUCAGACUUGAUGGCUUCCACGACACCGUUACCGCGGCAUGGAGCUCGGUGCAUGACGACGACCCAUUCCGGCGGUUGGUCAAGCGUCUCCAGGCCACUGCUCGCCGCUUAUCAAGCUGGAGCGCCAAGGCCACGGGCAACAUUCGGGACAAGCUCGUCAUAUCCCGCGAGCUGAUCAUGCGCUUUGACAAAGCGCGGGAGGACCGAGUGCUCUCGCCUCCGGAGGAAUGGCUCCGCAAGCAGCUCAAGCUCGCCUACCUCGGCAUGGCAUCCAUGGAGCGCACGAUCGCUCGGCAGCGUGCCCGGAUCGCGUCACUUAAGGACGGCGACGCCAACACGAGCUUCUUCCACCGGCAAUGCUCCUAUCGGCGUCAGAAGAACCGCAUAUAUAGCCUUAACGUCGACGGGCAGGUGCUCACGGAUCAUGAGGAGAUGGCCAACGCAGUGUUUUCACACUUCGAUGGCUUGCUGGGCACUGCUGUAGACCGGGCGCACACGCUGGACCUCUCCCAACUCAUCGCGCCCGGCGACCUCGCAUGCCUAGACGCGCCCUUCAGCCAGGAGGAAAUAUGGGACGCGGUCAAACGCAUGCCGGCGCGCAAAGCACCCGGUCCGGAUGGCUUCACAGUGGAGUUCCUGCGCGCCUGUUGGAGCAUCAUCCGCCAUGACAUAUGGGACGUCUUCGAGCUGCUAUACACGCUGCGUGGCCGCGAGUUCAGCAAGCUUAACCAAGCGCUGCUAACCUUGCUGCCUAAGCGCCCGGACGCUCACAAGCUCGGUGACUACCGGCCGAUCUGCCUGAUCCACAUUGUGGCCAAGAUCUUCGCGAAGGUCCUGUCAUUGCGCCUCGCCCCCAAGCUCAGCACCCUAGUCAGCCGCAACCAAAAUGCGUUCAUCGCCGGACGAAGCCUCCACGACAACUUCGUUCUAGUCCGGCAAUCCCUCAAGAUGCUGCACCAACUUCGCGCGCCCAGGAUCAUGCUAAAGCUCGACCUCACACGCGCCUUCGAUUCCAUCUCAUGGCCCUUUCUCUUUGAAGUGUUGCGCCAGUAUGGGUUCGGGGAGCGAUUCCGGGAGUGGUUGGCCAUUCUGCUCUCCUCGGCUAGCACAUGGGUCAUGGGCAAUGGAGUCCCCGGCCCCCCAAUCUGGCACCGUCGCGGCCUGAGACAAGGCGACUCCACCUCCCCAGAACUCUUCGUGCUGGCGGUGGACACCCUUGGGAGGCUGACGCGUCUCGCUCUGCACACGGGUAUCCUCCAGCAGCUGUACCCCCGGCGAGCCAUUCCGGCGAUAUCUCUUUACGCCGACGAUGUGAUGCUUUUCUGCCAUGCCACUACCGAGGAGAUUACCGCUGUCAAAGGCAUUCUGGACGUGUUCGGUACGGCGUCUAGGCUACGGGUGAAUUACGCCAAGAGCUCGGCCCCGAUCCUUCAUGCCGACGACCACGGCGAGGGGCUGUUGGAGCCACUUGGGUGCCCCGUCGUGGCCUUGCCGGUCACUAUCUGGGCAUCCCGCUCUUCACUCGCCGCCCAUCCGCAACCCAGCUGCAACCCCUCGUCGACGCGGUGGCGGGCCGGCUACCCUCCUGGAAAGCUUGGCUGA